GACGAACGCUGGCGGCGUGCCUAAUACAUGCAAGUAGAACGCAGUUCCGAACGGUUGAGUAACGCGUAAGUAACUGCCUCAUAGCGGGGGAUAACUAUUGGGAACGAUAGCUAAUACCGCAUACUGCGAGAUGGACCUGCGUGGUAUUAGCUAGUUGGUGAGGUAAAGGCUCACCAAGGCGACGAUACAUAGCCGACCUGAUAGGGUGAUCGGCCACACUGGGAAGGAUGCUCGGCCCCGACGCCAACGGUGUGUAGCAGUAGGGAAGCUUCGGCAAUGGACGGAAGUCCGACCGAGCAACGUCGCGUGAGUUAAUAGGGUUUUCGGGUGGAAAAGAUCUGGGGUUAGAGAAGCGGGAACUAAAGAGAAAGGGACGGCUAAAUACGUGCCAGCAGCCGCGGUAAUUC
rnacentral:rRNA from 1 species